rnacentral:rRNA from 1 species
UACGUAGGGUGCAAGCGUUAAUCGGAAUUACUGGGCGUAAAGCGUGCGCAGGCGGUUGUGCAAGACAGAUGUGAAAUCCCCGGGCUCAACCUGGGAAUUGCAUUUGUGACUGCAUGGCUAGAGUACGGUAGAGGGGGAUGGAAUUCCGCGUGUAGCAGUGAAAUGCGUAGAUAUGCGGAGGAACACCGAUGGCGAAGGCAAUCCCCCUGGACCUGUACUGACGCUCAUGCACGAAAGCGUGGGGAGCAAACAGG